rnacentral:misc_RNA from 1 species
GAAAUGCGAUACUUGGUGUGAAUUGCAGAAUCCCGUGAAUCAUCAAAUUUUUGAACGCACAUUGCGCUCGCUGAUAUUCCGGUGAGUAUGUCUGUUGAGAAUCAGUUUAAUUCUCACACCCUAUUUUGCUAAAGCAAUUAGAGUGUGGAUUUGGGACUUGUUGGUUAACACCGAGAGACCUUAAUUAUAUUUGUUGCUUUGGUUAAUUCCAAAGUCCAACUGGAAGGCAUGACCAAGAACUUAAGUUCGUUGAUUGCUGAUAACGGAAGGAGUGAGGUUAACUGUUUGGUCCAAAAUUAAACACGAAGCUGUCAAAGGCUUUAAGACUUGAUCUCAAAUCAGAUAAGACUACCCGCUGAACUUAA